GCACUAUGAAGCAGAAAUUGACCAUCCGGACGUACCCUGUUCAGCAAGUAAUAAAGAACAUAUUAUUUUAGUGGCUUUACAAUGUUUAAAGCCCCCAAAUGUUUUGCAAUCUGUCCAAGUGUUUCUUUUUUGGAAUUAUUAUUAGCCUUGUGAAUACUUCUGAUGGACAAGAGGAUUGCGUCACAACUCAUAAAAGAGAGGAUGACGCCACCAUCCGUACAGAAGAUAGAAUUACAAACAGUAUUUAAAAAAAAAAUGUCAACAUUCGAAUAACCGAUGAACACGUCACAACACCUCCAUUAACAGAUAAUGACGUACCUACACACAAACCUGGGGCCGACGUCUCGAUCAUUAAUGCUGAGGAUAUCGCCACAGCCAAUAUAACGGUAGAUGGAAUCACAACCCCUUUUACAGAGGCAGACGAAACAACCCCUGAAAUAGAGGGUAACGUCAAAAUCCCUGUCUUCAUAACGGAUGACAUCACAACUCUUCUCGCAGAGUUUGAUGCCCCAACUAGUACUACAAAGGAUGACAUCAUAAACCGUAUAACACAAGGUAACGUCACAGCCCCUAACGUAGAGGAUAACGUCAAAAAUCCUUUUUCAACAGAGAAUACCGUCACAAUUGCAGAGGAAGACGUCACAAUAAGUAUAACAGAGGGAGAUGUCACAACCCGUAGUACUGAAGAUGACGUCAAAAACCAUAUUGCAGAGGACGACGUCGCGGACCGGAACAUCGUGGAACUGCUGUUUUGUGCAGAUGCCUCCGCCUAUCGACAGUAAAAAGCUCCUUUCAUACCAGAUUUUGAAGAUCACCUUUUAUAAUAUCUUCAACAUUUGAACUCAUUAUCAUUUUCACAUCUGUAAAUUCUUAAUACACUAUGUUUAUAUAAUACAACACUGGUAAACAAGAAAACAGCAGAAAUACAUUUUAUAAUUAUAUAUAUAUAUCACUGUAUGUUUAGUUUCCUGGCCAUGAAAGGCAACGAUUCGGCAGCUGUGGUCGCCAUCCAUGAAUAUACAAGGGCCCUGGCUAAUGAGGUCGUAUGGCAGUUUCUAGUUGUGUUUCAUAACAGUUGAAGGGUUCACGGUUUGGCUACAGAUUCCAUCAAAGUUUUAAAAUGAUUAAAAAUGGUCAGAUUUAGAAACAAUACGUGUACAAGUAAUUCUUUAUUUUUUGUAGCUACACAUUAUAUUGAUAUAUGUAAAUUAAAAAGUAUUUAUUUGUAAAAAAUGAGAGGUUAUAAUGUCUAUAAGGUGACAAACUGACAAUGUCGUACCGAAAAGAAACUGUGAUCUAUCGAAAUGUUUCUUUUUCAGCACAAGCAAUCUACAUAACAGUCCUUUACAUAUAAACAGUAAAUAGUAUAGCCAUACAAAUAUGGCCGCACUCUGAAUAAUUUCUCAUGACCAAAAACUGUUCAACUGCCAUUGCUAGUUUCCAAGAUGUUCCGAUUUACUUUAUUGAGCAUCUUUAUUAAAAUGGUAUUUUAUUAUUUUUCGGUAAAAUUGAUUUUAUUGGGUUUAUGUUUCAUAUGUAUAACAUUGUCAACAAAAACAAGGAACUAUUGACAUUCAGUAAUUUAUUUAAAGUACGUGUAGACGAAUUCGAAGUUUAGUUUUAACGUUAAGUCAAUGAAUUCACGUACGAUUUUAUUAAUUCAUACUUAGUGGAAAACACCGAUUUCAGUGUUAGCCUACCGGUAUUUGAAUAUACUUUUUACAUUUAUUUGUGAAAAAUUGACAUUUUGCAAAAGUCCUGUUAAAGCAACUUAAUGUGUCAAAUUUACAAGGUUGUUACAGUUUGAAACCCUUUAAUGUUCUUGUGUCUUGUAUUCAGAUUGACGUCGCAUUUGGAGGAGUUUGCCAGGUCGAUCCUACGUUCAACUUGUCCAUUUUCCUGGUUGAUACCAUCAUCGCUAAGGUUGUUACGUUUAUAGUAUGUUUUAUCUAUAAAACAUGGGCGGCUGGGUUCCGGUCCCCUUUGUGGCGUGUUUUUACCACCCAAUAUGCCUUUCUGGAAAUAAUCUGUUCUAUUUUUAGCUUUUUUUAUGGCAUUUUAUAAUAAAUGCCCGUUUUCAAUUAACAAUAUUGUGUUUGUUCAUUCCUUCAAGUCAUACGAGUCCGUCCGGUCUAUGACCUUUUCAUUACCACCGAGGACAAUACAUAAAUAAUAUUUUAUGCACACAUAACAGAAUUUAUGUCAUUGUACGCCUUCUUAAUUGUUUAAUUGUCUGUUACCAUUAUACUUAUUCAAGCCUUAUAUUUAAUUACUUGUAUAUAACCUCAGUGUGGUGUCACAUGGGCUCUUUUGAACAAUAAAAUUCGGUCUUGGCCAUUGUGGUGUAGCAGGAAUGAUUUUUACAUUACAGUCUUAUAUAAUUUAGUAUUAAAUCUAGUCUUUUCUAUUUAGAUUAACAUUCUAUUAUCAGCCUACUAUUGUUAUACAUUAUAGAUCUUAUUCUGCAAUUGUUUCCAGUUAUUUAACUAAGGUUGUCUAAGCCUGUGUACAUGGUGAAUCAUUCGUGCAUUUUAUUUAAUACACAGGAGGGCUGUUUCACAACUAGAGUUAAACUUUACUAUAAGCUAUAAACCCUUUUAGUCUAUAUUGGAUAAUUUAAAUAUCUAUUCAAUGUAUAUAUUACUUUUGUAUGGUCCCUCUAACAUUAGACAGUUGCCGCCUUUUUGUGCAUGAGAUUCCCAUUCUUGUCUCUGCCAAAAGGGUAUAUAAGGCUUUGGAUUUUUGAAAUUGAUGGCCGAGUUCAAUAGACACCCAAGAUUUGCAAUGUCGCUAGAUAUUCUAGACGGGGUCGAAGAGGAAGUUUCGCUCUUCAAUCAUGAAGAAAGGCCAAACUGGCCUAUGACACCAACGAAGUGUACUUUGUGCGAUGCCGGUCCGUACAAAUGUCACAGUUCAUACCAGAGGCACUGGGCCAUGAAGCACAGUGCAACUGUGACUAUUUUUCAAUGCUCCUUGUCCUUGUGUACUAAGAAGUUUGGAAGACGGAAGGACGGUGUCGCGCAUCUAAAGAAAGUGCAUAAAUAUCCGGGUAAGCUGGCAUCCAAGACCAUCCCAAACAUCCAUUAUAUGGAUCCUAAGGGCGUCCUAUCUUAUCAGGUAGAUCAUAGGCAACGGCUGCGCCAGAAGAGGAAGCAGACAGAGGUGGCCCCAGACCUAACCACCGAGCGAGCCGAUUGUCGGGAUGAAGAAACCACCUUUGAUGAAGAGGGAAACGUUACAGGGAAAAAAUUCAAGACAACUUAAAGAACAAUAUUUAAAUUAAAACAUCGGUGGGAAUUAUGAACAGUGAACAGUUUUGAAAUGUUGAUUUAAAAAUAUAUAUAUAAUGGAAUUUUCAUGAAAUAAUGAUAUCUAAAGUUUUUAAAAUGUGUUUAAAAUGUUAAUGAUAUUUUACUGAAAUUACUUGUGUGAUAUUGAUGUUAAAAAUGUUUUUUUUUAUUUUACUGGAAGUACAAUUGUUAUAAUGGUAUUAAGCAAGAAAAACUUAAAGCUUUCUUUUAAAUUCACAAGUAAACCCACAUUUGUUCUGUUAUAAUCUGUAUUUGUUCAAGCGACAAGUCUUUUUUUUUCUUCAUUUAUAUUCCUGCUUUCUUUGGUAUUGAUAAAAUUAAUAAAUUAACUGUAGUCUUAAGGUAGGGGAAGUGUAGCAGGAAUGAUUUUUACAUUACAGUCUUAUAUAAUUUAGUAUUAAAACUAGUCUUUACUAUUUAGAUUAACAUUCUAUUAUCAGCCUACUAUUGUUAUACAUUAUAGAUCUUAUUCUGCAAUUGUUUCCAGUUAUUGAACUAAGGUUGUCUAAGCCUGUGUACAUGUUGAAUCACUCGUGCAUUUUAUUUAAUACACAGGAGGGCUGAUUCACAACUAGAGUUAAACUUUACUAUAAGCUAUAAACCCUUUUAGUCUAUAUUGGAUAAUUUAAAUAUCUAUUCAAUGUAUAGAUUACUUUUGUAUGGUCCCUCUAACAUUAGACAGUUGCCGCCUUUUUGUGCAUGAGAUUCCCAUGCUUGUCUCUGCCAAAAGGGUAUAUAAGGCUUUGGAUUUUUGAAAUUGAUGGCCGAGUUAAAGAGACACCCAAUGUAACUUUUACCUAAGUCGAGAACGGAGCCUUCCCCUCCCCUUAAAAUAGUAAAUUGUUUUAAAUAAUUAGAAAGCUAAAUUCAUUUAAUUAGGACUUGUCAAAUAAGUUUAGAUUAUUUCAUUAAAUUAAGUAAUUAAAGUAUUUAUAAAACAGUGAUUAUGUUUAACUUGUGUUUAUAUGGAACAACAGAGAAUCUAAAUAAAAAUGUGUCUUCAUAAAGGUGUUUUGGUUGUAAACAGUAUUUACGAAGCGAAACCGGUUACAGUGGCCCUGUGUUCCUUCCAGACUGUGACGUGGUAAUCCAGUAUGGUCAAAAUUAACAACCCACCUCCACCCCUUCUCCGCCAUAAGGUUUUGACUCCCGUACUAUGUAUGUUUUUACCUGUGUGUAAAACACAUUUGUAUAUUAUUUUACUGUUAUAAGCAUCAAAUAUUUUUCUUUUAUACUUAUUUUUACCGCCGUCAUCACACUCAACUUCACAAAUUCAUGUUUUGUAUGUGUAUAUGCGUUGAGUGUUUUUACCACCCAUUAUGCCUUUCUGGAAAGAAUCUGUUCUAUUUUUAUCUUUUUGAUGGCAUGUUAUAAUAAAUGCCCGUUUUCAAUCAACAA